rnacentral:rRNA from 1 species
GACGAACGCUGGCGGCGUGCUUAACACAUGCAAGUCGAGCGGUAAGGCUCCUUCGGGAGUACACGAGCGGCGAGCGGGUGAGUAACACGUGAGUAAUCUGCCCUUCACUUCGGGAUAACCACCGGAAACGGUGGCUAAUACCGAAUACGACCAGUCUUCGCAUGAGGUGCUGGUGGAAAGUCUUUUCGGUGAAGGAUGUGCUCGCGGCCUAUCAGCUUGUUGGUGGGGUAAUGGCCUACCAAGGCUUCGACGGGUAGCCGGCCUGAGAGGGUGACCGGCCACACUGGGACUGAGACACGGCCCAGACUCCUACGGGAGGCAGCAGUGGGGAAUAUUGGACAAUGGGCGAAAGCCUGAUCCAGCAACGCCGCGUGAGGGAUGACGGCCUUCGGGUUGUAAACCUCUUUCAGUACCGACGAAGCGCCCUGUCGGGUGGUGACGGUAGGUACAGAAGAAGGACCGGCCAACUACGUG